CAGCACCGCACAUCUGAAAUGUAAUUCCGUGAGUGCCAUCUCCUUUCUAGCCCUCACCCGAAGAACAUUAGAGAAAAGAGGUCUACCCUACAUGGAGCAGCUGCCUUGUGCCUCUUACAAGUGCUCCUGGGACUGUCCCAGUCAGGUCUCAGCUGCUGCUGAUUUCUAGAAAAAGGCGCAUUGCCACUAACCCCCCUCAGGAUUGUCCCCAGGACCUGGAACACACCCCGGGGUCUUCCUCACCACUCACUCAAGCAACUCUGGAAGUCCUCCUGUGCGUGUGUCAGCAGCUGUGCUGUCGUGCCUUCUUGACAUCCUGCAUCAGUUCAGAACUUUUCCACUUCGUGGUCAUCCUGUCUUUGGGGAAGCACUGGAAGUCACUUGGUGCCAGACGCAGUGAGUAAAGUGGAUGGGGACACAGUGCCAGGUUUCCACGAGGCUGUCUUCCUGUGGGCCGG
rnacentral:lncRNA from 1 species